rnacentral:rRNA from 1 species
AUUGAACGCUGGCGGCAGGCCUAACACAUGCAAGUCGAGCGAGCGGCGGACGGGUGCGUAAUGUAUGGGGACUGCACGAUAGAGGGGGAUAACUACUGGAAACGGUGGCUAAUACCGCAUACUAUCGGAUAACCCAUAUGGGACUAGCUAGUAGGUGGGGUAAAGGCUCACCUAGGAGACGAGCUCUAGCUGGUCUGAGGGGAUGAUCAGCCACACGGAUACGGAGACACGGCCCAGACUCCGACGGAGGCAGCAGUGGGGAAUAUUGCACAAGGGGCGCAAGCCUGAUGCAGCCAUGCCGCGUGUAUGAAGAAGGCCUUAGGGUUGUAAAGUACUUUCAGCGGUGAGGCGUUACCCGCAGAAGAAGCACCGGCUAACUCCGUGCCAGCAGCCGCGGUAAUUC